GCGCGGUGGUGCUGGGGCCGGGCGUCGGAGUGAGCUCCGAAGUGUGAGUUAGUCCGAAGGAGUGUUGUAUGUGCUUGUGUGCGUACGUACGGCAGGAGGGAGUUAGCGCACUACGGGCAUCGAUGGAUGUCUGCACGGGGAGGGCAGUACUGCGUGGAAGAGAUAUACGUGUGACACGUAUAACCAAGAUGCUCCGAGUUAUG
rnacentral:lncRNA from 1 species